CAACGGCUACCCCGACCUCCUGGUUGGCGCCUUCGGGGCGGACGCGGCCGUGGUUUACAGGGGCCGCCCCAUUGUCCACGCCAGCGCCACCCUGGCCAUUGUCCCCUCCAUGUUCAACCCCGAGGAGCGCGGCUGCGUCCUGGCCAGCGGCCACCACGUGUCCUGCAUCAAUGUCACCUUCUGCCCUCAACGCUUCCGGACGUCACCUGCCCGGGGCC